GACGAACGCUGGCGGCGUGCUUAACACAUGCAAGUCGAACGGAAAGGCCCUGCUUUUGUGGGGUGCUCGAGUGGCGAACGGGUGAGUAACACGUGAGUAACCUGCCCUUGACUUUGGGAUAACUUCAGGAAACUGGGGCUAAUACCGGAUAGGAGCUCCUGCUGCAUGGUGGGGGUUGGAAAGUUUCGGCGGUUGGGGAUGGACUCGCGGCUUAUCAGCUUGUUGGUGGGGUAGUGGCUUACCAAGGCUUUGACGGGUAGCCGGCCUGAGAGGGUGACCGGCCACAUUGGGACUGAGAUACGGCUCAGACUCCUACGGGAGGCAGCAGUGGGGAAUAUUGCACAAUGGGCGGAAGCCUGAUGCAGCAACGCCGCGUGCGGGAUGACGGCCUUCGGGUUGUAAACCGCUUUCGCCUGUGACGAAGCGUGAGUGACGGUAAUGGGUAAAGAAGCACCGGCUAACUACGUGCCAGCAGCCGCGGUGAUACGUAGGGUGCGAGCGUUGUCCGGAUUUAUUGGGCGUAAAGGGCUCGUAGGUGGUUGAUCGCGUCGGAGGUGUAAUCUUGGGGCUUAACCCUGAGCGUGCUUUCGAUGCGGGUUGACUUGAGGAAGGUAGGGGAGAAUGGAAUUCCUGGUGGAGCGGUGGAAUGCGCAGAUAUCAGGAGGAACACCAGUGGCGAAGGCGGUUCUCUGGGCCUCUCCUGACGCUGAGGAGCGAAAGCGUGGGGAGCGAACAGGCUUAGAUACCCUGGUAGUCCACGCUGUAAACGGUGGGUACUAGGUGUGGGGUCCAUUCCACGGGUUCCGUGCCGUAGCUAACGCUUUAAGUACCCCGCCUGGGGAGUACGGCCGCAAGGCUAAAACUCAAAGGAAUUGACGGGGCCCCGCACAAGCGGCGGAGCAUGCGGAUUAAUUCGAUGCAACGCGUAGAACCUUACCUGGGUUUGACAUGGAUCGGGAGUGCUCAGAGAUGGGUGUGCCUCUUUUGGGGUCGGUUCACAGGUGGUGCAUGGCUGUCGUCAGCUCGUGUCGUGAGAUGUUGGGUUAAGUCCCGCAACGAGCGCAACCCUUGUUCACUGUUGCCAGCACGUUAUGGUGGGGACUCAGUGGAGACCGCCGGGGUCAACUCGGAGGAAGGUGGGGAUGACGUCAAGUCAUCAUGCCCCUUAUGUCCAGGGCUUCACGCAUGCUACAAUGGCUGGUACAGAGAGUGGCGAGCCUGUGAGGGUGAGCGAAUCUCGGAAAGCCGGUCUCAGUUCGGAUUGGGGUCUGCAACUCGACCUCAUGAAGUCGGAGUCGCUAGUAAUCGCAGAUCAGCAACGCUGCGGUGAAUACGUUCCCGGG
rnacentral:rRNA from 1 species